rnacentral:misc_RNA from 1 species
UAUUUUUCCAAAUAGUUCAGUGGGUAAUUUAUGUAUUAGGCAAUUUAUUUAUAGCUUUCAUUUUCAUUGUUCUUUAAGUUUUAAUUUAUUCAGGUAACAUCAAAUUGCCCCCACCUCUCUCACUCUCUCUCUCUUAAACCUUCACAUUCUCUCUCUACAUUCUGCAUGUCAUUCACACUUUAAAACUCAUUAUCACACGCUCUUAUCUCUCUGCAAAACCACACUUCGCUUUCCCCUUCACCUACACAGUGACCAAUGGAGGCACCGGACUUCUUUAUCGGUGGCUACUUCAGCAGCGGAGCAGCGGCAGAGUUCUUGCCUGACAAAAGAAUUUCUGAUCAGAAACCUGGGGACCACUUCGCAGUCGAUGACCUUCUCCAUUUCCCAAACGAGGAUGAUGCUAUAAUGACAGAUGGUUUCUUUGAUAAUAUCACUAAAAAUUGCACUGCUACUAUUGAUUCUUCCGUGUUCAACUCCAAUGACAGCAGCAAUUCUUCCAUUUCCGGCAAUCAAGUCGGUCACCAGAACUUAGCUGAUUCUCACUUCUCCAGCGAACUCUGCAUUCCGUAUGAUGACUUGGCUGAGCUUGAAUGGCUCUCAAAUUUUGUGGAAGAUUCUUUCUCAAUGGAACAAAACCUCCAAGGCAACCUCCACAUUCUCUCCGGAUCCAAACCACCGACACCCGAGUCCUCUUCAUCUGAAUCCCACGCGGAACCAGUCGCCCGUAAUCUUAACAACCCAAUGUUUGAGCACGAAACUCCACUCCCCGGUAAGGCCCGUUCCAAGCGCUCCCGAGCUGCCCCAUGUGAUUGGUCCACGCGUCUCGUCCACCUCUCACACGCAACCAAACCGUCCUCCAAAAAACAAGAGAAUCAUAAUUCGAAUCCCGGUACGGAAGCUCCGGUCAGGAAUUGUCUUCAUUGUCAGGCGGAGAAGACCCCUCAAUGGCGGACUGGCCCUAUGGGACCAAAAACUUUGUGUAAUGCUUGUGGAGUACGAUACAAGUCGGGUCGGUUGGUACCCGAAUAUCGACCUGCAGCGAGUCCAACUUUUGUGUCGACGAAGCAUUCAAAUUCUCACAGGAAAGUUUUGGAGCUUAGAAGACAGAAGGAAUUGCAAAGAGCACAACAGGAACAGUUUCUACAUCAAAGUUCAAUUUUUGGCGUAUCCAACGGUGGCGAAGAUUUCUUGAUCCAUCAUCACAGUGGGUCCAAUUUUAGACAUAUGAUCUAGUGGGUCCGAGAGUAGGAUUAGUUUGGUAAUUUUGCUUCGUCAUAUUUGAAUUUGCAGCUUUUCUUUUUUGAAAAAACAAAAAAGUUUGCCAAAGGAGGCAAAAACUAGAAUUAAUCUGAAUUCCAUGGGAGAUUUUCUUUAAAGAAAAAUUAAAAUAAAAAAUUAAUAAAAAAUAAAUUAAAUUAAUUUAAUAAUUAAAAAUAUAUUAUAUAUUCACAUUCAAAUUUCCAAUAAAAUGAGUUUUCUAAAUGGUGUAACACUUUA